CUCUUUCAAGAUUUUCUGGGAUACUGGAGAAAUUGUUGAAUUAACAGCAGCAUCAUGUUACAAAUGUUUUUGAUCUGUCUCGUCUGGUGUAUCUUUAAAGAGUCAAGUGGAGAAAUUGUGAUCACUCAGACGCCGGCCUUUUUGCACAAAAAUCCUGGGGACAGAAUUGACGUUCAGUGCAAAGCUUCAUCUUCAGUCAGCGGUUAUAUGCAUUUCUAUCAGUUGAUACCAGGACAAAAACCCAAGCUACUGAUUUAUAGCACUAGCAACCGUUUUGGAGGGACCCCAGAUCGCUUCAGUGGCAGUGGCAGUGGCACUGACUACACGUUCACUAUCAAUGGUGUGCGCCCUGAGGAUGAAGGGGAGUAUUACUGUGGCCAAGGUGCCAGCUUCCCUCUACACAGUGAUACACUUCAGUACAAAAACCAGAUCUAA